UUAGAUGGCUGCUAGAGGUGCUUCCUGGGGCAGUACUGCCUAGUAUGCAGCACUGCCAUUCAGUGUCUCCACCCUUUGCAUGCAGACACUGAACUUUCCUCAUAGAGAUGCAUUGAUUCAAUUUAUCUUUAUGAGGAGAUGCUGAUUGGCCAGGGCUAUGUUGGACUUGUGCUGGCUCUGCCCCUGAUCUGCCUAUUUGACAGUCUCAGACAAUCCUAUGGGGAAGUAUUGUAAUUUGCUCAGAUCAUCACUUCUGAGCCAGCAGCUGCAGAAUUGAAUACAAGUAAUAUUUUACUAUAUUUAGGGAGGCAAGAAGGGGCCAGGGUGGUGGUUUUAACAUAAUAG